rnacentral:lncRNA from 1 species
GGGGUGGAGGGCUUGGGGAGGCAGCCAGAGGCUCAGAGAGGCUAUGAUGACUGCCUGUGCAAGAUGCGCCUAAAGAGUCUAGAGAGAGAUCAAUGGAGGUGAUGCAUUUCUGUUCUUGUUGUUGUAGUUGCAUGACAAGCUUGCAUGGUCUGUUACAUCGCAGACAACCGCUUGUAGCCAUCUUAUGGUUAAAGGUGCAGAGGAACUCGCAAUGCCUUAUUUUUCAAUUGUAGAUCUGAGC